rnacentral:lncRNA from 1 species
AUUAAAUAGAGCAUUUGUUGGACCUAUAAAUGCUGAUAUUUAGACUGAAGAAGAAACACACCACACACACCACACAAACACAACAGAAACAAACCCACCAUACCUUUGAGUUCCUUUUUGAGAGAGAGAGAGACAGAUAAAACAGUUUUAGUUCGGCCAGGUUGCUUUUGAGGUUUCCAAAUUUCCCUGUUCUAUGCCCUUUUUUUCUCUUUUUUCCUCCUUCCUCCCUCACCCUAUAACCCUCGGUAGGCGGCGAAUCUUCUUAGGAGACUGGUCCAUUUGCAGGACUUCGGCUGUACCUCUGUUUUGUAUCUAUCUCUUAUAUUUCAGUUUCUGUAAUUUAAAUUUAUGCAAUUUAUUUUGAUUAAUGGAAAUUAUUCUUUGAAUUCCUGUAAUUGGCUCAAAUCAAUUUUUUUUCAACAAUCUUAAGAAAGAUUCCUUUUUGAUCUUGUGAUCGGCAAUCGAAUUUCAGAAAAUUAAUUUGUCUGUUCCAAACUAUAUGUUAGAUGCAAAAAUCGCUGGUACAACAGAUUUUCCUCUUCUGUUCAAAACAUAGUGUUUUUAAAAACUGGUUAGGGUCUGUCCUUCUUUUUUUGAAAAGCAAAAAAUUAAACCAUUGAUUUCCUGCUUCUAGACAAAUCAUAUAUCUAAUUUUGAUCUUGACGCUGGGCUAACCUCGGUUUUCAAUUCUUAGGUCCGCUGUUCUGAACCUCCAGAGCCCUUGAUUUGUUACAAAAAAAAAACUAUUUAGUGGAUCUCUCCGUUGCUCUGAGAGAGAGAAUAUAGAGAAAGAGAACAAGGGGAGACAAGAGAGUGAGAGAAAAGAGAUCGGAAUAUAUAUCUAUCGAUAUAUAUAUAUAUAUAUAUAUAUAUAUAUAAGGAAGAAAGAGAACAAGGGGAGACAAGAGAGUGCGAGAAAAGAGAAAGGAAUAUUAUCUAUAUCUCUAAGGAAUAAAGAGAUUGGGGAAGGGAAAGAUAAUAUAUAUAUAUAUAUAUAAGAGUAAAGAAAGGCAUGCGCGAAAAAGUUAAAAUCUUUUAUAUAUAUAUAUAUAUAUUAAAGUAAAGAAUAAAAUAAAAAAUGCGCAUGUUCGAGAAUGGUGAUAGUAGAAUUAUAUUAUAUAAAUAUAUAAUAUAAAUGUUCUGACAGGUGAUAGUAGAAAUAUAUUAUAUAUAUAAUAUAAAAUUCGCAUGCGCAACGAAAUAUAAUAUAUAUAAUAAUAAUAAUACUAAUAUUAUUAUAUAUAUUUUUUUUGCCUUUGGUGGCAAUCGUCCCCAGGGAGUUACAGUCAGGACAACAAUCCAAAGGCAUUCUAAGUUUCCACAUGUUUCAACUCUUGCGCAUCCCAAGUCCAAGAAGCAACACAUCCACCUAAAUCAGUUCAAAAGAUGAACUAUAACAAGCCUACCAUAUUGAGUUCAAAAACCAAUCAACAUAAACAGCUAAAGCAAACUUACUCUGUUCAUGAGCCCAACAGGUUUCAUGAAGACCUUCGGCGAGCGUUCAUGCUUGAAAAAAUACUAAUAUAUAUCUCCUAUAUAUUAUAAAAAAAAAAAAUUGAAGAAACUCUUACAAUCUUGUUUUAAUUAAGUUUUCAUCACUUUACUUGUAUUGCUUUAAAAAUUUAACCAUAUAGUUUUUUGAAACAAAUUACAUGAUGUCACAACAGAUUUGGGAAUAAGUAUAAUUUCAGCUCCCUCAAAGUUUCUUUAAUAAUUACAGUUUUAAUUCAAAAUAAUUUCGUUGAAUAUUUCACUAUUCAUCUGUUCACCAGUACAAAAGUCAUUAAACUAAUACUUAACCUUAUCCACAAUCACGGUUGCCUAUAGAACAGUAGUAGUUUUCAAACUCCACAGUGAUUAUCUUUGAUAUCGCAAGUAGGUUGUCCCAUUGCACCUAGAUCUUGGGAUCUCCAGUUCAGCUAGGUUGGGUUUUCCUUCACAUAUCUUUCUCUUUCAUAGGCUUUAAACCCAUUCCUUUCCGAUGCUAUAUCAACUAACUCUUAGGUAAACCCUUAGUAAUCGGAUCCGCGAUAUUGUCUUUUGACACUCACGUAUUCAGUACGACAACCCCCACUUGAGAGUAUUGUCUAAUGUAUUAUGUCUACGACGAAUUGUCUUACUUACCAUUAUAACUUUCCUUUUGCCCUACCAAUCGCAGACUAACUAUCGCUGUGGAUGGUAAUCGCAGACACAGGUUUUCCGACCAUCUUGGAAUAUCUUCUAAAAAUUGGCGUAGCCACUCAGUCAUCUUCAGCGCCUUAUCUAGAGCAAUACACUCUGAUUCCAUCGUAGAACUUGCAAUGCCGUUUGUUUAGAAGAUUAACAAGAUACUUGCUGCCCACCCCAAGCCUAAAGACCUAUCCCUCGUGGAUUUCGAGUCUUUCAUAUCUGAUAUCCUAGGUUUGCCAUCGCACUACCCUUCUAGCACUGCUGGAAAUCUGUGUAAUGCAGUCCAAAAUCACUAGUUAUAUCUUAAAUAGCGUAGUGCAACCUUACUAUC